rnacentral:rRNA from 1 species
GACGGUACUUGAUGAAUAAGCCACGGCUAAUUCCGUGCCAGCAGCCGCGGUAAUACGGGAGUGGCAAGCGUUAUCCGGAAUUAUUGGGCGUAAAGCGUCCGCAGGCGGCCUUGUAAGUCUGUCGUCAAAGCGUGGAGCUUAACUCCAUUUAAGCGAUGGAAACUGCAAGGCUAGAGUGUGGUAGGGGCAGAGGGAAUUCCCGGUGUAGCGGUGAAAUGCGUAGAUAUCGGGAAGAACACCAGUGGCGAAGGCGCUCUGCUGGGCCAUAACUGACGCUCAUGGACGAAAGCCAGGGGAGCGAAAGGGAUUAGAUACCCCUGUAGUCCUGGCCGUAAACGAUGAACACUAGGUGUCGGGGGAAUCGACCCCCUCGGUGUCGUAGCCAACGCGUUAAGUGUUCCGCCUGGGGAGUACGCACGCAAGUGUGAAACUCAAAGGAAUUGACGGGGGCCCGCACAAGCGGUGGAGUAUGUGGUUUAAUUCGAUGCAACGCGAAGAACCUUACCAGGGUUUGACAUCCUGCGAAUCCUUUGGAAACGAGGGAGUGCCUUCGGGAACGCAGAGACAGGUGGUGCAUGGCUGUCGUCAGCUCGUGUCGUGAGAUGUUGGGUUAAGUCCCGCAACGAGCGCAACCCACGUCGUUAGUUGCCAGCAUUUAGUUGGGCACUCUAGCGAGACCGCCGGUGAUAAACCGGAGGAAGGUGUGGAUGACGUCAAGUCAUCAUGCCCCUUACAUCCUGGGCUACACACGUACUACAAUGCUACGGACAAAGGGCAGCAAACUCGCGAGAGCUAGCAAAUCCCAUAAACCGUGGCUCAGUUCAGAUCGUAGGCUGCAACUCGCCUACGUGAAGGAGGAAUCGCUAGUAAUCGCAGGUCAGCAUACCGCGGUGAAUACGUUCCCGGGCCUUGUACACACCGCCCGUCACACCAUGGAAGUUGGCCACGCCCGAAGCCGUUACUCCAACCCUUGUGGAGGAGGACGU